UGGACCUCAGAUCAGGCAAGAUUACCCGCUGAGUUUAAGCAUAUCACUAAGCGGAGGAAAAGAAACUAACUAGGAUU
rnacentral:rRNA from 1 species